UAUAAAGUAGUGUAAGGUGCACUUGGAUUUUUGAAGUCUAAAGAGUAAAGUUCAAUUCUUAUCUUUAUAA
rnacentral:tRNA from 1 species